UGGGGAAUCUUGCGCAAUGGGCGAAAGCCUGACGCAGCCAUGCCGCGUGAAUGAUGAAGGUCUUAGGAUUGUAAAAUUCUUUCACCGGGGACGAUAAUGACGGUACCCGGAGAAGAAGCCCCGGCUAACUUCGUGCCAGCAGCCGCGGUAAUACGAAGGGGGCUAGCGUUGCUCGGAAUUACUGGGCGUAAAGGGAGCGUAGGCGGACAUUUAAGUCAGGGGUGAAAUCCCGGGCUCAACCUCGGAAUUGCCUUUGAUACUGGGUGUCUUGAGUGUGAGAGAGGUAUGUGGAACUCCGAGUGUAGAGGUGAAAUUCGUAGAUAUUCGGAAGAACACCAGUGGCGAAGGCGACAUACUGGCUCAUUACUGACGCUGAGGCUCGAAAGCGUGGGGAGCAAACAGGAUUAGAUACCCUGGGUAGUCCACGCCCGUAAAACGAUGAUUGCUAGUUGUCGGGAUGCAUGCAUUUCGGUGACGCAGCUAACCAUUAAGCAAUCCGCCUGGGG
rnacentral:rRNA from 1 species